GUCUGACCGGGUGGGCGCGUGCGCAGUGCGCCCCGGCUCCUGUGCGUCCCGCGUGUUGUCGCCUUCUCUCCGGUCGUGGCGUGGGGUUUCGGAGUCGUCCCCAUCCCAGCUUCAGGGGAAGAAGACACACCGCUGAACAGUGAGGACGAUGACUGGGGACCAGAGGACCCGCAACCCAAAACUUUGCCAUCACCUUCGCUCUUCUGACAUUUUAAUCCAGGAAUUGCCGGUUAUAGAACCGUCCUCUGGGACAGGCGGUUCGAGGUCAGAAAGCUGAUGCCAGUCUUGUGGGAUCCCCAUGGACUUCCUGAUUCUGGGCAGAGAUUGAAGCCAAAAGAAGUGAAGAUGUAUGAUAAAGAGACCCUAGUGUCUCCACACAAGAGUGUGCCUGAAGUCAUUUUGCAAAACAACCAACCAAAAGGCCUUUGACGUCGGAGAGGAUGUAUGUGGGGCAGAAGAACUAACUACGAGAAUCCUGUGCUCACAACAUCUGCAGCUACAACUCGGAGACAUCAUACAGGCAUUUACUGGGUGUGAGCAAUCAGCAUGUUACAGGUCUGACUAGUUUGCAGCUCCAGUGGGCUGCCUGAGGGUUCGGAAGACAGGUUUCACAAAGAAAAAUCACUGUCACCUCAGCUUCAGACAACCACUAAAUUCUGCCUACGAAUCUUGUAGGAGGCGCUUCAUAUCCAUGGAGCAAAUGUGAGCAUAAAGAAAUGGUGUUGGGACAAACAGCCAUCUGUAAGUAAAGUUGGAAGUAUACCUCAUACUGUACCAAAACGAAUUUCUGAUAGAGAAAACAUAAAUGUUAAAAACUUUGAUCAGAAAAUAUAUAUAGCCCAGGGGUGAUGGUGCAUGCCCAUAAUCCCAAGCACUCUGGGAAACUGAGGCAUGAGAUCCCAAGUUUGAGCCCAGCCUGCACAAUUUGGUGAUUGUCACUCAUUCUACCACUAAGCUACACCCACCAUCCUCUGUGUGUGUGUGUGUGUGCGUGCCGCAGCGUGCCGCACGCGAGCGAGCGUGUGUGUGUGUGUGUGUGUGUGUGUGUGUGUGGUCUUGUUGUUGUUUUUAUUUUCUAGUACUGGUGUUGCAUCCAGGUUGAGCAGCCCACCAGGAUCAGAAACUCAGCAGCAAUAACAAAUUAAAGGGAUGGAGUUUAAGAAGGGAAGCCGAUUUAUUUGUAAGGAGGAAAAAAUAGAAGACACAAAGCUGCCAGGAUAGAGAGCAGGGGCUGCAGAUGAUAUGUGUGUGUCGUCGUGUGUGUCGGGGGGGUCCGCCCCUGCCCCAGCCCUGGUCCCAGGCUCCUUUUGUUAGGUCUGGGGACCCUUCCUUUCGGGUGGGUGGUAACCUGAUCAGUCUCUGGGCGGUCUUUGGGUGGACUCCAGGUCCCCAGAUCCUAACCUGGGUACUUUUGCCUGUGUGCACAAUCCUUUCGGUGGGCUUUCUUUCACUUCUUGCCCUGUUGUGAUCUGCAAGUUGUUGGGAAGGGAUCCUUUUAAGGUUAGUGACUAAGUAAAGGCGUGUGUGUAUAUCUAGUGCAGUAAUAUUGUGCCUCUACAGUGUUUUUAAAUACUAAAUAAAUUUUCUUGUAAAUUAGGUAGCCAUCCCUUGUCUCCCUGACAUUUUAUUGGGGGGAGUGGUGUCCUGGUUUUCAUGCUUCCGGCUUCCUUCCUGCCC
rnacentral:lncRNA from 1 species